rnacentral:rRNA from 1 species
CAGCAGCCACGGUAAUACGUAGGGUGCAAGCGUUAAUCGGAAUUACUGGGCGUAAAGCGUGCGCAGGCGGUGUUGUAAGACUGAUGUGAAAUCCCCGGGCUCAACCUGGGAACUGCAUUGGUGACUGCAACGCUGGAGUGCGGCAGAGGGGUAUGGAAUUCCGCGUGUAGCAGUGAAAUGCGUAGAUAUGCGGAGGAACACCGAUGGCGAAGGCAAUCCCCUGGGCCUGCACUGACGCUCAUGCACGAAAGCGUGGGGAGCAAACAGGAUUAGAUACCCCCGUAGUCCCUGUCUCUUAUAC